UACGGGAGGCAGCAGUAGGGAAUCUUCCGCAAUGGACGAAAGUCUGACGGAGCAACGCCGCGUGAGUGAUGAAGGUUUUCGGAUCGUAAAGCUCUGUUGUUAGGGAAGAACAAGUGCGAGAGUAACUGCUCGCACCUUGACGGUACCUAACCAGAAAGCCACGGCUAACUACGUGCCAGCAGCCGCGGUAAUACGUAGGUGGCAAGCGUUGUCCGGAAUUAUUGGGCGUAAAGGGCUCGCAGGCGGUUUCUUAAGUCUGAUGUGAAAGCCCCCGGCUCAACCGGGGAGGGUCAUUGGAAACUGGGAAACUUGAGUGCAGAAGAGGAGAGUGGAAUUCCACGUGUAGCGGUGAAAUGCGUAGAGAUGUGGAGGAACACCAGUGGCGAAGGCGACUCUCUGGUCUGUAACUGACGCUGAGGAGCGAAAGCGUGGGGAGCGAACAGGAUUAGAUACCCUGGUAGUCCACGCCGUAAACGAUGAGUGCUAAGUGUUAGGGGGUUUCCGCCCCUUAGUGCUGCAGCUAACGCAUUAAGCACUCCGCCUGGGGAGUACGGUCGCAAGACUGAAACUCAAAGGAAUUGACGGGGGCCCGCACAAGCGGUGGAGCAUGUGGUUUAAUUCGAAGCAACGCGAAGAACCUUACCAGGUCUUGACAUCCUCUGACAACCCUAGAGAUAGGGCUUUCCCUUCGGGGACAGAGUGACAGGUGGUGCAUGGUUGUCGUCAGCUCGUGUCGUGAGAUGUUGGGUUAAGUCCCGCAACGAGCGCAACCCUUGAUCUUAGUUGCCAGCAUUUAGUUGGGCACUCUAAGGUGACUGCCGGUGACAAACCGGAGGAAGGUGGGGAUGACGUCAAAUCAUCAUGCCCCUUAUGACCUGGGCUACACACGUGCUACAAUGGACAGAACAAAGGGCUGCGAGACCGCAAGGUUUAGCCAAUCCCAUAAAUCUGUUCUCAGUUCGGAUCGCAGUCUGCAACUCGACUGCGUGAAGCUGGAAUCGCUAGUAAUCGCGGAUCAGCAUGCCGCGGUGAAUACGUUCCCGGGCCUUGUACACACCGCCCGUCACACCACGAGAGUUUGUAACACCCGAAGUCGGUGAGGUAACC
rnacentral:rRNA from 1 species